rnacentral:rRNA from 1 species
AACGAACGCUGGCGGCAUGCCUAACACAUGCAAGUCGAACGAGACCUUCGGGUCUAGUGGCGCACGGGUGCGUAACGCGUGGGAACCUGCCCUUAGGUUCGGAAUAACUCCCCGAAAGGGGUGCUAAUACCGGAUAAUGUCUUCGGACCAAAGAUUUAUCGCCUUUGGAUGGGCCCGCGUUGGAUUAGCUAGUUGGUAGGGUAAAAGCCUACCAAGGCGACGAUCCAUAGCUGGUCUGAGAGGAUGAUCAGCCGCACUGGGACUGAGACACGGCCCAGACUCCUACGGGAAGCAGCAGUGGGGAAUAUUGGACAAUGGGCGAAAGCCUGAUCCAGCAAUGCCGCGUGAGUGAUGAAGGCCUUAGGGUUGUAAAGCUCUUUUACCCGGGAUGAUAAUGACAGUACCGGGAGAAUAAGCGCCGGCUAACUCCGUG